rnacentral:rRNA from 1 species
UCCGUAGGUGGAUCGGUCAGUCAGAGGUGAAAUCCUGCAGCUCAACUGUAGAACUGCCUUUGAUACUGCCGGUCUUGAAUUAUCGUGAAGUGGUUAGAAUAUGUAGUGUAGCGGUGAAAUGCAUAGAUAUUACAUAGAAUACCGAUUGCGAAGGCAGAUCACUAACGAUACAUUGACACUGAUGGACGAAAGCGUGGGGAGCGAAC